GAUGAACGCUAGCUGCAGGCUUAACACAUGCAAGUCGAGGGGAAACGACAUCGAAAGCUUGCUUUUGAUGGGCGUCGACCGGCGCACGGGUGAGUAACGCGUAUCCAACCUGCCCACCACUUGGGGAUAACCUUGCGAAAGUAAGACUAAUACCCAAUGAUAUCCCACGAAGGCAUCCGAAUGGGAUUAAAGAUUUAUCGGUGAUGGAUGGGGAUGCGUCUGAUUAGCUUGUUGGCGGGUAACGGCCCACCAAGGCUACGAUCAGUAGGGGUUCUGAGAGGAAGGUCCCCCCACAUUGGAACUGAGACACGGUUCCAAACUCCUACGGGAGGCAGCAGUGAGGAAUAUUGGUCAAUGGGCGAGAGUCCUGAACCAGCCAAGUAGCGUGCAGGAUGACGGCCCUAUGGGUUGUAAACUGCUUUUANAAGGGAUAAAGUGGGUCACGUGUGACUUUUGCAUGUACCUUAUGAAUAAGGACCGGCUAAUUCCGUG
rnacentral:rRNA from 1 species